UUAACAUUAUUUUCGAAUUCGCGAGAAUAGCUCAGUUGGUAGAGUACGACCUUGCCAAGGUCGGAGUCGCGGGUUCGAAUCCCGUUUCUCGCU
rnacentral:tRNA from 1 species